UAUAACAAUGACUGCCAUGUGUUGUCUCUCUGCUGACUUUCCUGUCUUAAGUUUUGUUCCUGUCUGCUGCACUCGAGUUUCUCUUUGCCAUAAUAAAGUCCACCUCACCUCACCCAAAUUAAAUUAAAAAUACUAAUAAAUAUGAAGGAGGAUAACGAUGAUGAUGUCACAUUUUCCAAGGAAGUCACCUGACUUGUUUAAGUUUCCACAGAAAAACCCUCCCUUUGAAUUAACCAAUGAGCACACAGCAUUUAAAACAAACAGAGGAGCAGCUGGCCAAUAAAAGCAGGAGGACUGAGACAGCAAGUCAUUCAUCUGUGCCUCCUUCUUUCAGUGUGUGAGCAGCACCGGUGGUCUUCUCUCCAGCAGUUCCCCAAAUCUCUUCUUCCCAAGUGCAGACGAACAUCAGUACACUGACCAUGAGCAGCAUAACUCUGUACAAAGGCGAAUGCUUAACUGGUGAGAAGAAAAUAUUCCUCGCUGAUAUUUCUGACCUUUCUACAGUGGCCUUUGACAAGCAAAUGGCCUCCUUGAAAGUUGAAGGGCAGCCCUGGGUGUCUUAUAAACAGGCUCAAUUUAAAGGAGAUGAAUUUAUCUACAAAAAUGAAAGUUAUCGCACAAUCUCAGAUAAAGAGAGAUUUUCAUCGAUGAAGCUUAUCAAAGACACCAGUGCCCCGCAUAUCACGUUGUAUCAGGAAACCAACUUUAAGGGGGAGCCCGCCAAAUUGACUGAGUACACCGUAUUGCCCUUGGGGUACAAAAUCGCCUCUUAUCGAGUGUGCAGUGGAGCCUGGUGUCUCUAUGAGCUCCCAAACAUGGCUGGAAUGAUGCAUGUGGCCUUAAAAGGUGAAGAAGUGCCCGACUGUCGCAGCAUUGCCUUUCAAAGAUACCCUGAGUCUCUGGAGCCAGUGAAGCAAUGUUGUUAGAAAGGCAGCACAUGAGAACGGGUCUCACCAGCAUGGACCCCCUGAAGUAACUGCAAGUGGUCACCUCCAGGCUAACGGGCAACAUGGAAGAUAUGAGAGCUUUGCACAUUUUUUUCUGUCUUUAAAUGGCCAUAUUAUGUCUCUUUAUUAAUUUUACUUUUAUAAAUCUUGUACACUCGCUUUCUUUAACUGAAUGAUAAUCAGACAAAUUUAAACUGUAAUGGCUAAACUAACAAUGAUAAAGUUUUCUUGAUGAAA